GGCAUAGUGACCCCGCUGUUGAGUAUUAUCCUACAAAAAGGCAGCUCUGUCAACUAAGACAGCUAUAAUGACCACUUGUACCACAUCCAGAGUAAACUAAAAACCAAACAAGUGGAGUGUUAUAUCAAAAAAUGUUAUUUAUUAUAAAAUAUAAAAAUGGAG